ensembl:lncRNA
CAAGGCAUCAAGCAAGAAAGAAAAAAAGGUUAUUUAAUUUGCAUGGGAGUUUUCUACCUCUUCUGAACAGGUCCACCCAUCUCUAUAUUUUUCCUCUUUAAAUGUUAAAGCAUCUGAACAUUUGUUCUGUCAGUUGAGAAAAAAUGGACUGACUUAAACCCAUCUUAGAUCCCCGGGGGAUAUCACAGGAAAAUAGGACAGCAGUGCUGAGAGGAAAAACUCCAUCUACUGCAUCUUUUACAAUUAAAACUUACCAACAGUGACGCAGGGGAAAGAGGUGAGAACGGCUUUUAUGCUGCAAUUCAAAGUUCCAUAUUGUAUCCAACCACCAAUACACAAAGAGUGCAAAUGAAAAUUACUCAUGUCAGUGGCUGACAGUUGCACUGUCUGAGGAGCACCCUUCUGUAGCUCUAUUCAUACUGACAUGUAAUUAAAGCAUACCGUGUCCAGAAAUUUCAAGUGAAAAGCCUUGAAGUAUGAUCAAAUUGAGCUCUGUGUAUGUCUUUGUCAUGUCUGAAAUGCAAGAGGUACUUAAGGAUGCUUCAGGUAUUCUACAAAUACAGAUGGAUUUGAACAGGAAACCAUAAAAGUAAAUCCCCUUUAUAAUUCAUACAUUAUGAAUUUAACUGCAACGCCUAGAAUUCUGACUAGUUAAGUCCUACCAAAGCUUCAUCUAUCAAUGUAUGUUUUCUGAUUCCAAAUUUUUAGGCUUCUUCCAUUAACAAAAAGAAUGAUGAUGACCUUCAGGAGCUUUGGCUGAGUAAGAACUAAGAAAUCUGGGACGAAGGAGCUGCUCCAAACUAUAAGCUCCUCCCUGAAAAACAUGGUGAAUUGUGACAAGAUAUUAAGAAACUUUUUCUGUAACAUUUUACCCUUCCAAAAACAUAUGAAAGAAAGCACAGUGAGGGCAAGUCCCUGGAUUUAAGAGAAACGACACAACUUUGCAGUUUCUGGGAACAAUCUCAUGUAUGUUGGACUAUUAAUUUCAUAAAAUCAUAAAACCAUAGAAUCAUCAAGAUUGGAAAAGACCUCUGAGAUCAGUCCAACCAUCCACUCGUCACCAGUAUUUCCCACCAAACCACAUCCCUCAGUACAACACCUAAAUGUUUCUUGAACACCUCCAGGGAUGGUGACUCCACCACCUGUUAUGGUUGUCAGAAACUUGUGGAAUCCAUCAGCCUGCUGCAGAGGUCUGGGCUAUUGAGAGCAGUCUGACCUCCACGGAUGGAAUUUGUUGGUCUCUCGGCACCAUCUGAGCUGCAAGCUGAAAUCUGUAAAGGAGGUCAUGAAGAAAGGAUAUCUGGAGUCAACUUGGCUCACACAUCUUAGUCCAGAAGAGGCACUGAUUCAGCUGGAUGGGACACAGCACUCAUUGCUGGAGGCCUGAAGUUUCCAAAGAGAUUAAGAUAACUUUGAUGACAUUUCUGGAGGAUGAAGAGCAGCAAUGAUAACUGAGACUAUACGUGUGAGUGCCAUUCAAAAGGGCUUAGGAAAUAUCAGUCACACCCUGAGGGUACAUCUAAUCUGGACUGCACUCCCUGCUCCUAGUCAAUACACAUUUCAUCAUGUCAUCCAAGCUGAUUGCCAAGAAUCCUUCCUACUGAAUCAUAUAUUUCUGAGCUGCCAUCACUCCAAACUGCAUGGCUGCCAUGUUCACAUCUACUGGUGUCAGCACUGCAAAAGGAGAUGAGAAAGAUCCUUAUCCCCAUUUGACAACCCUCUCCUGGACCAGAACAGAAGCACAUGGAUCCUAUCCCUCCUUCUUCCCUCCUUUAGCAAAGUCGGACAUAACUGGAGCAGAAGCUUCAACAGACAUAGCAGCAGACUCCUGUUCAAGUGCUCUGAAGAAGGGUAAGGAAAGUGAGAGUUCAUGUGGUAAAAUAACAAAACAAAUAUCUGAAUGGCCACAGAGUGCAUGUUGUGAUUUGAGAGGUUUGUGGUUUUAAAUAAAGUAUAAAUGAGCAAUAAGAUUAGAAACUUCAUUUGUUAAAGUUUGCAUUUCCC